rnacentral:rRNA from 1 species
GUCCACGCCCUAAACGAUGAUCACUAGACGUCAGAAAGCCUAAUCUUUUGGUGUCGUAGCUAACGCGUUAAGUGAUCCGCCUGGGAAGUACGGUCGCAAGAUUAAAACUCAAAGAAAUUGACGGGGCCCGCACAAGCGGUGGAGUAUGUGGUUUAAUUCGAUGCUACGCGAAAACCUUACCUGGACUUGACAUCCCGCGCUAUCCCGUGAAAGCGGGAGUUUCCUUCGGGAACGCGGAGACAGGUGCUGCAUGGCUGUCGU